UAUAUAUGGCAUGGUUUACGAAUGUAAUGGAUGCACGCGAGCUGUCAUGCUGCCGUCUCUUCUUGGUUGUUCAAUCCUGUAUUCUACCAUUAAGCGACGAGGUGCUGCUCGUUUCAGAAACUGUCGGAUGGGAAUGGAAUUGACUGCUUAACUGUAAGGAUUCAAAGACAUACAAGAGCACUACGAAUGGAAAUUAAUACAGACGUCAAAUUUUCAGAUUAACACACGCCUCAAUUGUUGAGAUACAUAAAAAGAAAAUGGGAAACAGGGAAGCAGCAAAGAAAUGACCUUUUGGAUUGACUGUGCAGUGCGUUAGGGCCU